GUAGGGAAUCUUCCACAAUGGACGCAAGUCUGAUGGAGCAACGCCGCGUGAGUGGAGAAGGCUUUCGGGUCGUAAAACUCUGUUAUUGAAGAAGAACGUGCGUGACAGUAACUGGUCAUGCAGUGACGGUAUUCAAUCAGAAAGUCACGGCUAACUACGUGCCAGCAGCCGCGGUAAUACGUAGGUGGCAAGCGUUGUCCGGAUUUAUUGGGCGUAAAGCGAGUGCAGGCGGUCUUUUAAGUCUGAUGUGAAAGCCUUCGGCUUAACCGAAGAAGGGCAUCGGAAACUGGGAGACUUGAGUGCAGAAGAGGAGAGUGGAACUCCAUGUGUAGCGGUGAAAUGCGUAGAUAUAUGGAAGAACACCAGUGGCGAAGGCGGCUCUCUGGUCUGUAACUGACGCUGAGGCUCGAAAGCGUGGGUAGCAAACAGGAUUAGAUACCCUGGUAGUCCACGCCGUAAACG
rnacentral:rRNA from 1 species